rnacentral:lncRNA from 1 species
GAAUGAAAUUAAAAAUAAUUUUAGGAAAAAUGGGUGAAGUUGGGAAUAAGAUUGAUGUUUUUUUAAAAAAAAAUUGAAAAUAGGAAGUUUGACCACGUGGGAUGGUCCAGUCAGUAGCCACGGCGAACCAGAGCACGCUACGUGACAAACAUGUUGACAUCGGCACCACACAGGAGACCACACAAGUGAUCCGCGUGCUUGGAGAUUUGACAAUCCAGAUCACAUCUCGCAUGCACAGACGACCCAAAUGCAUUUCCUCUUCAAGUGUGAUCGAAUAGAUGGGGUUGAUUGCGAUGGACAGCUCAGAUUCGUCCACACAAUCAGCCUAAAUAGAAAAUCAUCAAACGGUCCUUCUCGCUCCACGUCGACUCAAACAAGCAGUCUGGAU